CCUACGGGAGGCAGCAGUAGGGAAUCUUCCACAAUGGACGAAAGUCUGAUGGAGCAACGCCGCGUGAGUGAAGAAGGGUUUCGGCUCGUAAAGCUCUGUUGGUAGUGACGAAAGAUAGAGGUAGUAACUGGCCUUUAUUUGACGGUAAUUACUUAGAUAGUCAAGGCUAACUACGUGCCAGCAGCCGCGGUAAUACGUAGGUGGCAAGCGUUGUCCGGAUUUAUUGGGCGUAAAGCGAGUGCAGGCGGGUCAAUAAGUCUGAUGUGAAAGUCUUCGGCUCAACCGGGGAAUUGCAUCAGAAACUGGUGGACUUGAGUGCAGAAGAGGAGAGUGGAACUCCAUGUGUAGCGGUGGAAUGCGUAGAUAUAUGGAAGAACACCAGUGGCGAAGGCGGCUCUCUGGUCUGCAACUGACGCUGAGGCUCGAAAGCGUGGGUAGCGAACAGGAUUAGAUACCCGUGUAGUC
rnacentral:rRNA from 1 species